AACCUCGGAGGGGCUGAGAAGCCGAACCCGUUACCGGGGAGGUUCCUGACCGGCCGUGGACUCCGCCGGCCCCCACCCCUUUCCCGCCGGUACCUGGCGCCGGCUCGGCGGGACUCUGUGCCCCUCGGCUGUGGCCGUCCUGGAAGCGGACCUGGCGGAAGCCACCGGGCACGACGCCCCAGAGGCGGCUGGCAGUGCCGCGCAGGAGGCGGCCGCCCUUGCCGGUGAAGGUGGUGAGGUAGUCCAUGGCGGGAGCUACUAACGGCCGCGGAACCCCAUGGCCGGGCCGGGCCGGACAAGCAGCUCCACCAGCCCCGCUCCACAACUCAGGCAAACUUUGGAGCUCGGCCCCGCCUCCAUUUAAAGGGGCCGCGCUGCCGCCGCCGGCGCUGGGUGCGGACGAUUGCGACCUGGUAGUAGCGUGGGGAGCGGGCCGCGACAACCGAGGGUACGGGGGCCUGAGGCCACUCUUGCACCCCUCGCCGGCCCGGAGCAGGACCCGGAGCAGGGGCCUCGGCCGGGGCCGAUCCGCUGGCACCUCACGGGGCCGGGUGUCCCGGUGCGGGGCUGUGCGUGUGAGGCCGUUCUCCAGUGGAGGGGCAGCGGCUCCUCAGGCGGAGGCGCCUCACAGCUUUCCAGUGAGUCACUUUUUAAUACAGGCCGACGGAGCGAGGAGGCAGCCUCCCGAACUGCUCUGCUGCAAGAAGAUGGCCCGUCGUCGGCACGGCUGCUAGGAGCUAAGGCCCGAGAGCAGGCCGGGUGGGCACCUGGAUCUCCUCACUGCCUGCGUGACCACUUGGGACAUCACUGCCUUUCAGUCUCAGACACUCAUCAAGAAGGAAGCUGUCAUCUGCAUACUAGCCUCAGAAAUGCUAAACCUGGAAUUUCAGACUUAACAAGGUGGCCAGACCCUAGAACCAUAUGAAAACACAAGUCAGAAGCUGCAGGCAACGGAGGAACUGCAUGAGAAUCCCCCACCACUGAGAAAGGAAAUAACAGCAACAAGUCUGACAAGAAACUAAGUCUACUACAAACAUAUCUCCUGGUUACAAAGGACGAGCCUGUUUGCCACAAAUAUAGGUGCCUGUGGAACAAAACCAAAAAGCCAAACUUUUCUUCACGUAAGGAAAAUAAUUUUCCAAAGAACUCAAUAUCCUUUAAUGGAGUUAACAUUUCAGAAAACCUUCUAUAGUCCGUGAACAUUUAAUAUCCCAGCACAUCGGUCUGUAGUGAACUCCAAGGAUAUGGGCCAUGGACUGAAGCAAAAUUCCACUAAAGCAAAUGCAGCAUCAUGGACUGCACCAUUGCAACUCCAUGAAUUAGCAAAGGCGGUAAAUUAUGCACACAAAAAAAAUGCAACCCCAUGUAAUAUUCAUUCCCUCUUCUCUCAGCUGGGUAACCUCUACAAGCAGCAUGCAGAAACUCCGGUUUGCUCUAGCCAAAGGUUGUAUGUAUGCAUCCUGCCCCCACCUUCCUGCACCAAAUACGUCAGUGAAUCAACUGCAGUUUCAUGAAUCAACACCAACUCCCUCUCCACAGUUUCAACAAACUUCUGAGAGUUACAAAUCAGAAAGUAAGUUUUCAUUUUCACAGUAAGGAAGUUCACUCAACAGCAAAGUUAGUGUUCCUUUCUGUGAGAAUCAAGGUAAUAAUAGAUUUUCUUACAUAUAUAUUCACAAAGUUAUUGGUAAAGAAUUUAUUUUGUACCUUGGAAAUCCAACAAGUGCUGAGCCAGAUGAAAAAUAGAAACAAAACAGAGAAUGGAGUUAGCAGUACUGAGCUGGUGUCUUGUUCUUUUUACCAAUCAAAACCACCACAAUAAUAAAGCAGUCACAGUGUUGCUCGAUAUUUACUAACAGACCAUUAAAAUUGUUGUCAGUGGACUUGCUGACUCUUUGGCAGGGCAGGCUGCAAACUGCUUUUAUGUGCAUUUAUUGAAUGAUUUCCCAAUUUUUUAAUGAUAAAACAUGUUCAGGCUCAUUUAGACACAAACAGCAAUAAAGCAGAGUUCAGCAUUUUAAUAAGAGAUGCAUAAUGUUGUCUUCCUUCAGCCAAAAAGGUCCUUGAUUUUAAAGGCAGCCAUUCCUUGUGAUUUUACUGAAGAGAAACAUGCAGCUCUCCUGCCCACUUAUGACUGAAUGAUAAAUUACAUUCAAAUGUCUGAAAUUUUCCACACAGCUCUUUUGUUUCAGCUAAAGUAAAAACAAAUUCUUUCUUAUAAUCUUUGCAUUCUGCAGUAUAA